UCUGGGGAGAAAACAAGAGAAAGCAAGAGUUUAUUGGAUUGUUCUGCUCCAAUACAUUUGUGUCCAUUUUAAGGAGGAAUAAAAGACGCCGAGACACAAGGUGGAGCUACUAGUGCUGACAACUGGAGCUCAGGCCGUGUUUAGUUAACAUCAUUUAGUAUCUGAGCUGCACCCUAAGGUCAACUGCAUGCAGCUGCAUUGCAAUCCAGCUGACACAAAAACCGUAACAAAUGAAAUGUGUGACACAUAUUAAUAUCAGGGCUGCAACCUGGGGGG